GCCGUCUGGGCUCCACUCGACGAGGACACUCCCGUGGGAGAUCGCCGAGUGGUUAAACCAGAAUCCUCGCGUGGAGUUUUGAGUCUUGCCAGCCGAGUACAUCCAGAAGUUCUACUAUAUUGUGAUGAAGAAGAAGGAGAAGGAGAAGCAACGCCAGGAGCUCGCUGAAUCCUGGCGUUGACGACGAAGACAAUCAUCUCUGGACAAUAAGAAGUCAUGAAAAGGAGAUACGAGCUGCUUUGUCAGCUACAAGUGAAGCUGCGGGAUCUCGGGGGACUAACGUCAAGUCUCAAGCUUACAAAGAGGUGAAAGCAAGUCCCGGAGAGCAAGUGCUUCCUCAGAUUCGGUGACGAACGGGACACCCAUGCCUCGACAGAUGAGUAUGCAAAGUUGCAAAGGAUCCAGCACGCUCAAGCUCGGCGUUCACAGAUUGUCGGUUGCAACGCUGCACCUAACGAGCUCCUUAUGUGGGGGUUUUCUUGGAAUCUGACGCUUUCUUCUUUAGCGAUGGAUGUGAUCCUUUCUUGUCUUUCUUUCUUUUGUUUUGGUGCAUCCAUUUCAGGAGGGGUCUCUAGUUGUUUCAUGUGCUGAAAGCACUGUGAAGGUAUGAAAUUCAUCAACUGCUGAGUGCCUCUACACUCUGGGGCCUGGUUCUGACGAAA